GGGAGUAUAGCUCAGUGGUAGAGUGCCUGCUUAGCGUGCACAAGGUCCUGCGUUCGAUCCCCAGUACUUCCA
rnacentral:tRNA from 1 species